UGGGGAAUAUUGCGCAAUGGGCGAAAGCCUGACGCAGCCACGCCGCGUGGGUGAUGAAGGCCUUCGGGUUGUAAAGCCCUGUCGAGGGGGAAGAACACUGACGGUACCCCUCAAGAAAGCGCCGGCUAACCCUGUGCCAGCAGCCGCGGUAAUACAGGGGGCGCAAGCGUUGCUCGGAAUCACUGGGCGUAAAGCGUACGCAGGCGGACCGGUAAGUCGGAUGUGAAAUCCCGAGGCUCAACCUCGGAACUGCAUUCGAAACUGUCGGUCUUGAGUACGGGAGAGGUGAGCGGAAUUCCUGGUGUAGAGGUGAAAUUCGUAGAUAUCAGGAGGAACACCGGUGGCGAAAGCGGCUCACUGGCCCGAUACUGACGCUCAUGUACGAAAGCGCGGGGAGCAAACAGG
rnacentral:rRNA from 1 species